UACGAAGGGGGCUAGCGUUGCUCGGAAUCACCGGGCGUAAAGCGCACGUAGGCGGAUUGCUAAGUCAGGGGUGAAAUCCUGGAGCUCAACUCCAGAACUGCCUUUGAUACUGGCGAUCUUGAGUCCGGGAGAGGUGAGUGGAACUGCGAGUGUAGAGGUGAAAUUCGUAGAUAUUCGCAAGAACACCAGUGGCGAAGGUGGCUCACUGGCCCGGUACUGACGCUGAGGUGCGAAAGCGUGGGGAGCAAACAGG
rnacentral:rRNA from 1 species